GCGAGGGUGGCGGAACUGGCAGACGCACUGGACUUAGAAUCCAGCGCCUUCGGGCAUGGGGGUUCAAGUCCCCCCCUUCGCACCA
rnacentral:tRNA from 1 species